UCCUGCUCUGUGUUCGCGGACAUGGCGACGGAAAAAACACAGCUGGACUUUACAAGAGCCAACACUCCUCAACGUUUUAAAAGAAUUUAAAAUAAGUGGAAAAGCUUGACGGACGUAAGUUGGCAGCACAGACUUGUUGUGUCCGGAGUCAGCAGGUAAGUAGAGCAAAUUAAAAACUGCUGGGAAGCAACGAGCGCUUUCUACAAGGAGAAGCUAAAGGAGCAGAAGCGGCGCGGCUCCAACCAGCUUCACUUAUUAUGAAUUAAUGGAGUAAUAAUCUGAGGACAACCUUCUCCAAGGAGCACACUAGAGUAGAAGUCAGUUUUACACCGGAGGAAAGUUCACCUGAGACACCGGAAAGCCUGGAGAUGAUGAUGAUGUAAAUAUAAAUAGCACGUCGGAGGAGAUUGAUGACAUCAGCUGAAGACCACACAGAGGAGGCUCCAGACAAAAAAAUUAAAAGCCAUCAUCUGGUGAUGCCAAGCUCCUGGGUGA